CAUAGCAUUCAAGGAUGUUUAUUCCACACAGGCUGCACUAUUUGAUACAUGCUGUACUUGAACAGAAAGCAAUAGAAACCAACCCCAUACAUCUAUAAAAAAAAGCAAGGGCUUUAUAUGUCUCACUGCAAAAUCAACAUACAUAAAAAUACAGUCAGAUGUUGUCUAGUGAGGCUUAUGGCUCUCCUUCUUUACAUCUACAUCACUGCAGAAUGCCACUUCUCUAUUUUACACACACUGAUUAUGAGAUUAUUUACUAGUCUGAUGAUAUUCCAGAUCAAGAAUUAACUUUCUUGCCACCCACCUAAUCCUGCAAACCUUAUUUAUGUGGCUACACAAGUGCCUUGCCCAGGAUCCAAAAUAUCCUUGUAGUAGGAGCAUUACUAUACUAUUUUAUCCAUAGGCACAGGGAAAGUUUUGCUCAGUGUGAGACAGUGAGUCAGUGAAGAAGCUGAGACAGAAGCCAUCUCUGCUGACUUGAAGUUUAGUCACCCAUCAAUUGCAGCAUGACACACAACAGACUUUUAGAGAUGCUUCUGGAAUAUUGUAUAAUAAAAAGUACCCAAAAGUUCACCCGCGCUGACAUAGAAAUUCUCCAGGAUUCCCAGCACUAAGGUACCAAGUUUUAUAAAAUUACAUGAGAUGUCAAAUUUCAUGACACCGCUGCCU